rnacentral:rRNA from 1 species
AUUGAACGCUGGCGGCAGGCCUAACACAUGCAAGUCGAACGAGUGGCGGACGGGUGAGUAAUGUCUGGGAAACUGCCCGAUGGAGGGGGAUAACUACUGGAAACGGUAGCUAAUACCGCAUACCAUCGGAUGUGCCCAUAUGGGAUUAGCUAGUAGGUGGGGUAACGGCUCACCUAGGCGACGAUCCCUAGCUGGUCUGAGAGGAUGACCAGCCACACUGGGACUGGGACACGGUCCAAACUCCUACGGGAGGCAGGAGUGGGGAAUAUUGCACAAUGGGGGCAAGGCUGAUGCAGCCAAGCCGCGGUGAGGGAGAAGGCCUUCGGGUUGUAAAGUACUUUCAGCGGGGAGGCGGUAAUCGCAGAAGAAGCACCGGCUAACUCCGGGCCAGCAGCCGGGGUAAUUU